rnacentral:rRNA from 1 species
GACGUAGGGGCCAGCGUUGUUCGGAAUUACUGGGUGUAAAGGGUUCGUAGGCGGUGCGGCAAGUUGGGAGUGAAAUCUCUGGGCUUAACCCAGAGGCUGCUUCCAAAACUGCUGUGCUUGAGUGUGGGAGAGGCGCGUGGAAUUGCAGGUGUAGCGGUGAAAUGCGUAGAUAUCUGCAGGAACACCCGUGGCGAAAGCGGCGCGCUGGACCACUACUGACGCUGAGGAACGGAAAGCUAGGGGAGCAAACAGG